rnacentral:misc_RNA from 1 species
CGAUGGCCAUCUGCAGCAGCUCAGGUCUGCAUUUGUAGUUUUCCCAUUUCCUUACUCCCUAAAUGUGUAUUUCAGUUGUUAUUGCCACUAACAACAUUCUUAAUUUCCUUUAUUUUGUGCCAAUUCUAUGGGUUUUUUAAUGCUUAUCCCUUUUUGUGGUUUUGCUUUUCAUCUGCUUUUCAAUUUUAUUUUUCCUUUUUUUUAUGCAAAAUAAUUUAAUUGUAUAUUCAAUAUGAUUUGUUAGAUGUGGACGAUUUUGAUAUACAUCUAUGUUUUUAAGUGAGUCUUUUAUAUGCAAAAUUAUUUAAAUGCAAUGCUCUUGUUUUGAUUGAAUGAGUUUUUCUUUACCUUCAACAUAAUUCUACCCACCAGUAAGUGUGUCAAAUGAAUACAAAUGAUUAGUUAAGGAACAUAGGGACUUCAUAUCUAGAUCCUCAUACUAAGAUUUUUAGUCAAUUUCAUAUGUAGUUUCUUUAUCUUUUUGGGGCAGAUUUCUGGCACUGAAAAACCU